rnacentral:rRNA from 1 species
AUUGAACGCUGGCGGCAUGCUCUACACAUGCAAGUCGAACGGUAACAGGCCGCAAGGUGCUGACGAGUGGCGAACGGGUGAGUAAUGCAUCGGAACGUGCCCAGUCGUGGGGGAUAACUACUCGAAAGAGUAGCUAAUACCGCAUACGAUCUAUGGGUGAAAGCGGGGGACCGUAAGGCCUCGCGCGAUUGGAGCGGCCGAUGUCAGAUUAGGUAGUUGGUGGGGUAAAGGCUCACCAAGCCAACGAUCUGUAGCUGGUCUGAGAGGACGACCAGCCACACUGGGACUGAGACACGGCCCAGACUCCUACGGGAGGCAGCAGUGGGGAAUUUUGGACAAUGGGCGCAAGCCUGAUCCAGCAAUGCCGCGUGCAGGAAGAAGGCCUUCGGGUUGUAAACUGCUUUUGUACGGAACGAAACGGCUCUGGUUAAUACCCGGGGCUAAUGACGGUACCGUAAGAAUAAGCACCGGCUAACUACGUG